AAGUCGUAACAAGGUUUCCGUAGGUGAACCUGCGGAAGGAUCAUUAACGAGUUCUGAAAUGGGUUGUAGCUGGCUUUUCGCUCACCGCGGGAGGCAUGUGCUCGCCUUGCUCAAUCCACUCUACACCUGUGAACUAACUGUGGGUCUCUGGUGCGAGCCGGCGUGUAACUCCCCUUCACCGGGGCGGUUGUCGACUUUAACCUGGCCUACGUUUUCUUACAAACUCUUUAAAAGUAUUGAGAAUGUGUAUUGCGAUAUAACGCAUUUAUAUACAACUUUCAGCAACGGAUCUCUUGGCUCUC
rnacentral:misc_RNA from 1 species